AUGAGUCUUUAGAAACAUUUAUGAUGGCGAAUCCAGGGAUUAAGUCAUUUAGGUAUGACCCAUAUUUAUGGAGUUGUUUUUGGAGGAGUAUGAUCAUAAGCGAGAUAUUGAGGGUUUUUUCUGAGGACAAUAGGAAGGCAAGGGAAUCCGAGGAUAUUGGAGAGGUUGAAAAGGAAGAUGAGGGAGAAAGGUUUUGAUUAUACGGUUGUUUUGAUGUAUUAGUGCGUUUAGGAUUUCAUUUUUUGAGGAUUCGGUUGAUACUUGAAUUCAAAUUGCUUGUCCUAUUCUUUCUAUUGACUGAGAAGCCAUUGUUGACGCCUUUUGAUGCGGAAACUGCGCUUGGGGAUUUGGCUGGUUGCUGGAGAACAGUUUGGUGGGAAAAAAGACGGAUCUUGUUGUGGGUGUGACAAUGGAGAUGCAAAGGGUUUGGAGGAAGAUUAUGGUGGGGAGUAUUCCAUGGAUUACUAUGCUCAGGAUGGUGGGGAAUGGAAUUCUUCUUAUGUGAAGAAAGCAACCCGCCCUGUACGGAGAAAUGUUGUGUCUUCUAUUGGCAAUGUAGCUGCUACAUAACAUCACUGGGCCAUGAGACUGUAAACUAGUGUACUGAGAUUUCUAACUACAAGGUGAAGGGGCAAAGUCACUGUGAGAGUAUCUGACUCGUGACUUGGUAAGGAGCACUAUGUUUCUGUUCUUUGUUUUUUUUUUUUUGGAACGUCAGGUGCACUCUAUGUUUCAGCAGGACAGUGCAAAACGUGUCAUGUUAUUAAUGCAAAAGAAUCUUUAGACAAAAAUAAUUUUGAAUAAAGAUCCACCACAGAAAACCUUGUACAAUUACCAUUUAUGGGUUAAUGUGAGCAUAUUGACUCGUAAACUACUGUACGUUAUGUGAGUUGGGCUACGUUUGCUAUCGCAGCAAAAACAUGCUAUGGCACACGAAGAAGUUGACCAUUCUGAAACAGACGCAGCAUGCUCCGUUCGGAGAAAUGCUGUCUUCUGCUGGCAUUGCCGUGGUGGUGCAUAAGAUUGUAAACUAGCGUGCCUAAGAAAGGUACUCCGAUUCUUAUUACAAUUUAUGAGUAAGCGUGUGUACUUCAUCCUAUUGUUUAAUGUUCUGUUGCAAAUGCUUUAACCUAGGGAAGUUACUUUGACAUUUCGUUGCUUCAA